rnacentral:lncRNA from 1 species
GGGGUCGGGUCUCAGAGGUCGGAACCGGGCGGAAGGCGGAGCGCUCAGGCGCGGUAAAACAAGACAGAUGACUAUGAUCAAGGGCUCCGAUUAAGAUUAACUCGGGAGAUUAGGGGUCAGUCGUCACAGCCUACCCCUCUUAAAAAGAAUCUCGUCCCGAGAUUCAGGCAUCAAAAGCGGGGUGCCGUUUUUACCUCCUUGACGAGAUAGAAAACCUGGGAAGCGCUUGUUCAAAUACUCGUCCAUUUCCCAUGUUGCUUCAUCUUCAGUGUGGUUUCUCC